AACGUAGGUACCGAGCGUUAUCCGGAUUUACUGGGCGUAAAGCGUGUUCAGGCGGCCGCGCAAGUCGGGCAUGAAAUCUCUCGGCUCAACCGGGAGGGGUUGUCCGAUACUGCGUGGCUGGAGGGCAGUAGAGGGUGGUGGAAUUCCGGGUGUAGAGGUGAAAUGCGUAGAGAUCCGGAGGAACACCAGUGGCGAAAGCGGCCACCUGGACUGUACCUGACGCUCAAACACGAAAGCUAGGGGAGCGAACGGG
rnacentral:rRNA from 1 species